rnacentral:tmRNA from 1 species
AGCCUUGGGUAGCCUGUCUGACGGCAGCCCCUGGUCGAAAACCAAAGUCAGACUAAGCGUGUAGAAAGCUGUCUGGUGCGGUGUUUGGACGGCGGUUCGAGUCCGCCCAUCUCCACAA